UGGGGAAUAUUGGACAAUGGGGGAAACCCUGAUCCAGCCAUGCCGCGUGCGUGAAGAAGGCCCUAGGGUUGUAAAGCGCUUUCGGCGGGGAAGAUGAUGACGGUACCCGCAGAAGAAGCUCCGGCUAACUCCGUGCCAGCAGCCGCGGUAAUACGGAGGGGGCUAGCGUUGUUCGGAAUUACUGGGCGUAAAGGGCGCGUAGGCGGAUUGUCAAGUCAGAGGUGAAAGCCCUGGGCUCAACCUGGGAACUGCCUUUGAAACUAGCAGUCUAGAGUCCGAGAGAGGAUGGCGGAAUUCCCAGUGUAGAGGUGAAAUUCGUAGAUAUUGGGAAGAACACCAGUGGCGAAGGCGGCCAUCUGGCUCGGUACUGACGCUGAGGCGCGAAAGCGUGGGGAGCAAACAGGAUUAGAUACCCGCGUAGUCC
rnacentral:rRNA from 1 species